UUUAAAAAACCUAAACCUAAUCCUUAAAAAUUCUCUCCUUGUCCCAUCAGCGCCGCGCCGCCACUCCCGUCCAAUCUCCUCCAACCUCGGGAUUUCCCGUGUCUCGCCGAUCCAACAUCCAUCCAACGAGCGUCGCUCCUUCUGAUUCCGCUCGAUCCAUCACAGAGCCCAGGCCCCAGCUCUGCGGACAAGUCCAGUGACUGCAGGCAACCCAGGCCCCAGCCUUACUCUCGUCCGUGAGCUCCCGCAGUUCCGAGCCGAGCUUGCGGCCGUGCCUGAUCCCGCAGCCACUUCCGGCUGCCGCCGACGACCAAGCCCACGAUAAGCCAUGACACUGCCGGUGUUGCCGCCAUCGGUGCUCCGUCAUUUGGGUAAGCAGGAGCACGCCGCCAUCGGGAAUGGAUUCCUCUCCACCAGAUCUAGCGUCCCCACUUCUAGAUCUGUCGUCCUCGGGUCGUCCCCAUGCCCAGCAUGCCCUCGCCUCGCGUGCUUCAACUAUUACCGCUGCCGUGUACGUGUUGACUCGCCUCCUUCAGCGUUCUCGCAGCGAGCGCACGGACGCACAAGUCCGCAGCCAGCGCGCGGACGCGCAAUGACGUCGCCCAGGUCCAUUUGCCCCCAGCGUUGCAUCCCGUAGCGAGACCUGCACGCGAGCGCCCUCUGUUUCCCCCCGCUGUGAAUAACCUCCGUAUCUGAACCUUGUUUGUUGUAGAUCUAUUCUGGCGUGCUGCUAUUUUUCUAGGAUCGCCAGUAUGUUUUAGCACGAGCAUGUGAGUGGCCGAGUUGGUAGCGCGCUUAUCUUCUAAACUAUGGAUCUGGGGUUCAUCUGGGUUCAAAUCCCAGGCUUCCCUAUUUUUAUUUUCUGCACUAGUGUGUGUACAUGUCGAGCCGAUAUACAUCUUGUUAAACGUCCCACUGCUA